rnacentral:rRNA from 1 species
GAUGAACGCUGGCGGCGUGCCUAAUACAUGCCAGUCGAGCGAACAGAUGAGGAGCUUGCUCCUCUGACGUUAGCGGCGGACGGGUGAGUAACACGUGGAUAACCUACCUAUAAGACUGGGAUAACUUCGGGAAACCGGAGCUAAUACCGGAUAAUAUAUUGAACCGCAUGGUUCAAUAGUGAAAGACGGUUUUGCUGUCACUUAUAGAUGGAUCCGCGCCGCAUUAGCUAGUUGGUAAGGUAACGGCUUACCAAGGCAACGAUGCGUAGCCGACCUGAGAGGGUGAUCGGCCACACUGGAACUGAGACACGGUCCAGACUCCUACGGGAGGCAGCAGUAGGGAAUCUUCCGCAAUAGGCGAAAGCCUGACGGAGCAACGCCGCGUGAGUGAUGAAGGUCUUCGGAUCGUAAAACUCUGUUAUUAGGGAAGAACAAAUGUGUAAGUAACUAUGCACGUCUUGACGGUACCUAAUCAGAAAGCCACGGCUAACUACGUG